CACAUCAAGGAAGGCAGCAGGCACGCAAAUUACCCAAUCCCAGCUCUGGGAGGUAGUGACGAAAAAUAACAAUGCGGGACUCUUCCGAGUCUGCGUAAUUGGAAUGAGCACACUUUAAAUCCUUUAGCAACAACCAAUUGGAGGGCAAGUCUGGUGCCAGCAGCCGCGGUAAUUCCAGCUCCAAUAGCGUAUAUUAAAGUUGUUGCGGUUAAAAAGCUCGUAGUUUGAUUUGAGUUGCGGACUGGUGUGGGAGGUCACCGCCCGGUGCUUGCCCGCCAGGUUCCGAACAGCUUCCGUGAGUGGAAGCCAAGCCGGUUCUGCCGGGGUGCUCUUUACCGAGUGUCCCGUGCGGCCGGCCAGUUCACCUUGAAUAAAUGAGAGUGCUCAAAGCAGGCUACUCUGGAAUACAAUGCCCGAAUGUUAGCUGCAUGGAAUGAUGGAAGAUGAUCUCGGUUGCAUUUUGUUGGUGGUGGCAGCCAGAGGUAAUGAUAAAGAGGGACUGUCGGGGGCAUCCGUACUACGACGCGAGAGGUGAAAUUCAGUGACCGUCGUAGGACGAACAACAGCGAAAGCAUUUGCCAAGAAUGUCUUCGUUGAUCAAGAACGAAAGUUAGAGGAUCGAAGGCGAUCAGAUACCGCCCUAGUUCUAACCCUAAACGAUGCUGACUAGCAAUUCGCCGUCGUUAUUCCCAUGACGUGGCGAGACGCCCCCGGGAAACCUCAAGUUUUUGAGUUCCGGGGGUAGUAUGGUUGCAAAAGUGAAACUUAAAGGAAUUGACGGAAGGGCACCACCAGGAGUGGAGCCUGCGGCUUAAUUUGACUCAACACGGGAAAGCUCACCAGGCCCGGACACCAGAAGGAUUGACAGAUUAAGAGCUCUUUCUCGAUUUGGUGGGUGGUGGUGCAUGGCCGUUCUUAGUUGGUGGAGUGAUUUGUCUGGU
rnacentral:rRNA from 1 species